rnacentral:rRNA from 1 species
AGAAGGUACGCUCUUGAUGGUGAAGUCCCUCGCGGAUGGAGCUGACGAGAGUCGCAGAUACCAGGUGGCUGCAACUGUUUAUUAAAAACACAGCACUGUGCAAAAUCGUAAGAUGACGUAUACGGUGUGACGCCUGCCCGGUGCCGGAAGGUUAAUUGAUGGGGUUAGACUUCGGUCGAAGCUCUUGAUCGAAGCCCCGGUAAACGGCGGCCGUAACUAUAACGGUCCUAAGGUAGCGAAAUUCCUUGUCGGGUAAGUUCCGACCUGCACGAAUGGCGUAAUGAUGGCCACGCUGUCUCCACCCGAGACUCAGUGAAAUUGAAAUCGCUGUGAAGAUGCAGUGUACCCGCGGCUAGACGGAAAGACCCCGUGAACCUUUACUACAGCUUGGCACUGAACAUUGACCCUACAUGUGUAGGAUAGGUGGGAGGCUUUGAAGCACGUACGCCAGUAUGUGUGGAGCCGUCCUUGAAAUACCACCCUUGUAGUGUUGAUGUUCUAACGUCGACCCCUAAUCGGGGUUGCGGACAGUGCCUGGUGGGUAGUUUGACUGGGGCGGUCUCCUCCCAAAGAGUAACGGAGGAGCACGAAGGUGGGCUAAUCACGGUUGGACAUCGUGAGGUUAGUGCAAUGGCAUAAGCCCGCUUGACUGCGAGAAUGACAAUUCGAGCAGGUGCGAAAGCAGGUCAUAGUGAUCCGGUGGUUCUGAAUGGAAGGGCCAUCGCUCAACGGAUAAAAGGUACUCCGGGGAUAACAGGCUGAUACCGCCCAAGAGUUCAUAUCGACGGCGGUGUUUGGCACCUCGAUGUCGGCUCAUCACAUCCUGGGGCUGAAGUCGGUCCCAAGGGUAUGGCUGUUCGCCAUUUAAAGUGGUACGCGAGCUGGGUUUAGAACGUCGUGAGACAGUUCGGUCCCUAUCUGCCGUGGGCGUUGGAAGAUUGAAGGGGGCUGCUCCUAGUACGAGAGGACCGGAGUGGACGAACCUCUGGUGUUCGGGUUGUGUCGCCAGACGCAUUGCCCGGUAGCUAAGUUCGGAAUCGAUAACCGCUGAAAGCAUCUAAGCGGGAAGCGAGCCCUGAGAUGAGUCUUCCCUGAUACUUUAAGUAUCCUAAAGGGUUGUCGGAGACUACGACGUUGAUAGGUCAGGUGUGUAAGUGCUGUGAGGCAUUGAGCUAACUGAUACUAAUUGCCCGUGAGGCUUAACCAUACAACACCCAAGGGGUUU